UUCCGGUUGAUCCCGCCGGACCUGACUGCUAUCGGAUUGAUACUAAGCCAUGCGAGUCUUUGCAGUAAUGCAAGGCAUACGGCUCAGUAACACGUAGUCAACUUACCCUAUGGACGAGGAUAAUCUCGGGAAACUGAGCAUAAUACUCGAUAGAUCAUAAUGCCUGGAAUGGUUUAUGGUUAAAAUGAUUCGUCGCCAUAGGAUGGGACUGCGGCCUAUCAGCUUGUUGGUGAGGUAAUGGCCCACCAAGGCGAUUACAGGUACGGGCUCUGAGAGGAGAAGCCCGGAGAUGGGUACUGAGACAAGGACCCAGGCCCUAUGGGGCGCAGCAGGCGAGAAAACUUUGCAAUGUGCGAAAGCACGACAAGGUUAAUCCGAGUGAUUUCUGCUAAAGAAAUCUUUUGCAAGUCAUAAAACCACUAGUGAAUAAGGGGUGGGCAAGUUCUGGUGUCAGCCGCCGCGGUAAAACCAGCACCUCAAGUGGUCAGGAGGAUUAUUGGGCCUAAAGCAUCCGUAGCCGGCUCUGUAAGUUUUCGGUUAAAUCCAUGUGCUCAACGCAUGGGCUGCCGAAAAUACUGCAUAGCUAGGGAGUGGGAGAGGUAGACGGUACUCAGUAGGAAGGGGUAAAAUCCUUUGAUCUAUUGAUGACCACCUGUGGCGAAGGCGGUCUACCAGAACACGUUCGACGGUGAGGGAUGAAAGCUGGGGGAGCAAACCGGAUUAGAUACCCGGGUAGUCCCAGCUGUAAACGAUGCAGACUCGAUGAUGCAUUGGCAUAUAGCCAGUGCAGUGUCGCAGGGAAGCCGUUAAGUCUGCCGCCUGGGAAGUACGUACGCAAGUAUGAAACUUAAAGGAAUUGGCGGGGGAGCACCACAAGGGGUGAAGCCUGCGGUUCAAUUGGAUUCAACGCCGGG
rnacentral:rRNA from 1 species